rnacentral:rRNA from 1 species
UCUGCCUACGGGGCGCAGCAGUGAGGAAUAUUGGUUAAUGGGCGCGAGCCUGAACCAGCCAAGUCGCGUGAGGGAAGACUGCCCUAUGGGUUGUAAACCUCUUUUGUCAGGGAGCAACGCCGGCUACGUGUAGCCGGACUGAGAGUACCUGAAGAAAAAGCAUCGGCUAACUCCGUGCCAGCAGCCGCGGUAAUACGGAGGAUGCGAGCGUUAUCCGGAUUUAUUGGGUUUAAAGGGUGCGUAUGCGGAUUGCCAAGUCAUC